AUACGUAGGUGGCAAGCGUUGUCCGGAAUUAUUGGGCGUAAAGCGCAUGUAGGCGGUUUGGUAAGUCGGUCGUGAAAAUGCGGGGCUUAACGCCGUAUGGCGAUUGAAACUGCUGAACUUGAGUGCAGGGGAGGAAAGGGGAACUCCCAGUGUAGCGGGGAAAUGCGUAGAUAUUGGGAAGAAAACCGGUGGCGAAGGGGCCUUUCUGGACUGUGUCUGACGCUCAGAUGCGAAAGCCAGGGUAGCGAACGGGAUUAGAUACCCCGGUAGUCCUGGCCGUAAACGAUGGGUACUAGGUGUGGGAGGUAUCGACUCCUUCCGUGCCGGAGUUAACGCAAUAAGUACCCCGCCUGGGGAGUACGGCCGCAAGGCUUAAACUCAAAUGAAUUGACGGGG
rnacentral:rRNA from 1 species